CUUAGGGAAGAGCCGAAUCCCCUGUGCGGCAGGGGAGCGGGGGACCCGGAAACGGGGCGAAUCGUCGCCGCCGACGCGGCAGCGUAGGCUAUCUCUGGUAGCCGAGCCCGGCAGCUAACCUCGCAGGCAUUCCAGGGAACGGCA
rnacentral:sRNA from 1 species